rnacentral:rRNA from 1 species
UACAGAGGUCCCAAGCGUUGUUCGGAUUCACUGGGCGUAAAGGGUGCGUAGGUGGUCGGAUAAGUUUGAUGUGAAAUCUCGGAGCUUAACUCCGAAACUGCAUUGAAUACUAUCCGGCUUGAGGGUCGGAGGGGGGACUGGAAUUCUCGGUGUAGCAGUGAAAUGCGUAGAUAUCGAGAGGAACACCAGUGGCGAAGGCGAGUCCCUGGACGACUCCUGACACUGAGGCACGAAAGCUAGGGGAGCAAACAGG